CUCCAUCAUGUGAAGCGGAUUUCAGACGGGGGAUCUCUACCCUGGCUGCCCAUUCAGAUCUCCUGGAGAGCUCUGAGGAAUCCUACACUGGGGCAACACUCCAGGCCAACUGGUUCGGACUCAUGGGGGCAGCACCUGUUGCAGGAUGAUGUAAAGCCCCCCGAGCACACCCAGUGUGGAGCCAGCGUUGAGAAUCAGGGGCUUAAAUCAGAAGGUCAAGCUCAGGAGUGAGACUGGCCUGCGCUGGAAUCCUGGCUCUGGAACUUCUAAGUGCAGCUCUACAUGAGCCUCUCAACUCGCCGCACAGUCCUGAGCUGUUCAUUCGUCUAAAAUCAGCAAGAACAACACAACCGCACAAGGAUGGGACGGAGAGUUCGCUGAGACAGCAGAAGAAAAGCUUCUUGAAGACUUUUAUUCCACAAACAAGAAUUAUCAUCUUGUUUGCCACUGCAUUCCCGGCACCUAACAGUACCUAGAACGUGGAUGAGCAACACAAAUAUGUUGAGCGAUUGAUUGAAUGAAUUAGUGGACAUCAGCCCUACUCAUAUGAAGAAAAGCUAUCUCAUCAGGGGCAGCUGACACGUUUCCAGAACACACCAUGACCCAAACACUAUCCAAGAAUUCUGUGUGGUCAAGAUCUGCCUUAGCGCACACAGCAGCCUGAGAAGGAGGCACCACCUCACAGAAGAACAAACCAAGGGCCUGAGAGGCAACUAGUUUGCUCCAAGUCAUACAGCA
ensembl:lncRNA